UACGUAGGGGGCUAGCGUUGUCCGGAAUCAUUGGGCGUAAAGCGCGUGUAGGCGGUCCGGUAAGUCCGCUGUGAAAGUCGGGGGCUCAACCCUCGGAUGCCGGUGGAUACUGUCGGGCUUGAGUACGGAAGAGGCGAGUGGAAUUCCUGGUGUAGCGGUGAAAUGCGCAGAUAUCAGGAGGAACACCUAUAGCGAAGGCAGCCUGCUGGGACGUUACUGACGCUAAGGCGCGAAAGCGUGGGGAGCGAACAGG
rnacentral:rRNA from 1 species